GACUAGCUGAGAGGAGGUGCGAUGGCCGUCGUCAGUUCGUACUGUGAAGCAUCCUGUUAAGUCAGGCAACGAGCGAGACCCACGCCACAGUUGCCAGCUCGUCCUCCGGGAUGGUGGGGACACUGUUGGGGACCGCCUCUGCUAAAGAGGAGGAAGGAAUGGGCAACGGUAGGUCAGCAUGCCCCGAAUUAUCUGGGCUACACGCGGGCUACAAUGGGUGGGACAAUGGGUAUCGACACCGAAAGGUGAAGGCAAUCUCCUAAACCCAUCCGUAGUUCGGAUUGUGGGCUGCAACUCGCCCACAUGAAGCUGGAAUCUGCAGUAAUCGUGUCUCAAAAUGGCACGGUGAAUAUGUCCCUGCUCCUU
rnacentral:rRNA from 1 species